CCUACGGGUGGCAGCAGUGGGGGAUAUUGGACAAUGGGGGAAACCCUGAUCCAGCGACGCCGCGUGAGUGAAGAAGUCUUUCGGUAUGUAAAGCUCUAUCAGCAGGGAAGAAAGAAAUGACGGUUCCUGAGUAAGAAGCCUCGGCUAACUACGCGCCAGCAGCCGCGGUAAUACGUAGGCGGCAAGCGUUCUCCGGAAUUACUGGGUGUAAAGGGUGCGUAGACGGUAAUGCAAGUCUGGAGUGAAAGGCGGGGGCUCAACCCACGUACUGCUCUGGAAACUGUGUAACUGGAGUGCAGGAGAGGCAGGCGGAAUUCCUAGUGUAGCGGUGAAAUGCGUAGAUAUUAGGAGGAACACCAGUGGCGAAGGCGGCUUACUGGACUGUAACUGACGUUGAGGCUCGAAAGCGUGGGGAGCAAACAGGAUUAGAUACCCUGGUAGUC
rnacentral:rRNA from 1 species